AGAACUUAGCAGAGAUGCUUUUGGGUGCCCUUCGGGAACUCUGAGACAGGUGCUGCAUGGCUGUCGUCAGCUCGUGUUGUGAAAUGUUGGGUUAAGUCCCGCAACGAGCGCAACCCUUAUCCUUUGUUGCCAGCGGUUAGGCCGGGAACUCAAAGGAGACUGCCAGUGAUAAACUGGAGGAAGGUGGGGAUGACCGUCAAGUCAUCAUGGCCCUUACGAGUAGGGCUACACACGUGCUACAAUGGCGCAUACAAAGAGAAGCGACCUCGCGAGAGCAAGCGGACCUCAUAAAGUGCGUCGUAGUCCGGAUUGGAGUCUGCAACUCGACUCCAUGAAGUCGGAAUCGCUAGUAAUCGUGGAUCAGAAUGCCACGGUGAAUACGUUCCCGGGCCUUGUACACACCGCCCGUCACACCAUGGGAGUGGGUUGCAAAAGAAGUAGGUAGCUUAACCUUCGGGAGGGCGCUUACCACUUUGUGAUUCAUGACUGGGGUGAAGUCGUAACAAGGUAAGCGUAGUGCU
rnacentral:rRNA from 1 species